UUGAGAGCUGGUGAACUAUAGCACAAAUGAAUUUGAAUCAUUAGGAGGAACCAAGAAUUCCGCCCUCAAA
rnacentral:tRNA from 1 species